rnacentral:lncRNA from 1 species
AUUAAAUAUUUUUUAUAUUACUUAAAUAUUGUAUUUGUUAAAAAUAAAAUGGGUUAGUCAGUAAAUUUAAUUGAGGAAAAAGAUAAUGAAGGUAAUUCAACAUAAAACAAUAAUCGUUUUAGAUUGUUAAAAUCUUUAAUUUUAAAAAAAAUCAGUAAAACAAAAAGGAGAAUAAUUUUAGUGUCUGCAUUUGUUUGAAAUUAAAAGAAAAUCUAAAAUAUACUUUAAAAAUGUUGUUUUUUAACUUACAAAAACUUUUACUUCCUUUAUUUUAACUUGUUUGCCUGAUUUUGACUUAGCCCGAAGUUUAAAUGCGUGAUAAAGAUUUUAAAUUUUGUCAUAUUAAAUUGAAGAUAUAUGUGGAAAAAACUAAAAUAUCCUUUAAUCUUGUGGUAUUGAACAUGUCAUAUGAAAAAAGAUAAAUUAAAAGAGUCUGAAAAAAAAAGAAACAAGAUAUUCUUUUAUAAAUGAACAAAAAAGAAACUGGACACAAGAA